rnacentral:rRNA from 1 species
AGUGAAUAGAUACCCAGGUAGUCCCGGCCCUAAACGAUGAAUGCUUGGUGUGGCGGGUAUCGAUCCCUGCCGUGCCGAAAGCUAACGCAUUAAGCAUUCCGCCUGGGGAGUACGGUCGCAAGGCUGAAUCUCAAAGGAAUUGACGGGGGCCCGCACAAGCGGUGGAGCAUGUGGUUUAAUUCGACGCAACGCGAAGAACCUUACCCAGGCUCGAACGGUAGAUGACAUCCUACGAAAGUAGGCUCCCGCAAGGGCAUUUGCCGAGGUGCUGCAUGGCUGUCGUCAGCUCGUGUCGUGAGAUGCUGGGUUAAGUCCCGCAACGAGCGCAACCCUUGUCUUCUGUUGCCAUCGGGUUAUGCCGGGCACUCUGAAGAGACUGCCGGUGACAAACCGGAGGAAGGUGGGGAUGACGUCAAGUCAGCAUGGCCUUUAUGUCUGGGGCCACACACGUGCUACAAUGGCCGGUACAAACCGUCGCGAGCCCGCAAGGGGGAGCUAAUCGGAGAAAACCGGUCUCAGUUCGGAUUGCA